rnacentral:rRNA from 1 species
CAGCAGCCGCGGUAAUACGUAGGGUGCGAGCGUUAAUCGGAAUUACUGGGCGUAAGGCGUGCGCAGGCGGUUCGUUAAGACAGAUGUGAAAUCCCCGGGCUUAACCUGGGAACUGCAUUUGUGACUGGCGAGCUAGAGUAUGGCAGAGGGGGGUAGAAUUUCACGUGUAGCAGUGAAAUGCGUAGAGAUGUGGAGGAAUACCGAUGGCGAAGGCAGCCCCCUGGGCCAAUACUGACGCUCAUGCACGAAAGCGUGGGGAGCAAACAGGAUUAGAUACCCGCGUAGUCCCUGUCUCUUAUAU